rnacentral:rRNA from 1 species
UCGGGAAUUUUGGGCAAUGGGCGAAAGCCUGACCCAGCAACGCCGCGUGAGGGAUGAAGUAUUUCGGUAUGUAAACCUCGAAAGAAUGGGAAGAAUAAAUGACGGUACCAUUUAUAAGCUCCGGCUAACUACGUGCCAGCAGCCGCGGUAAUACGUAGGGAGCAAGCGUUGUUCGGAUUUACUGGGCGUAAAGGGCGCGUAGGCGGCGCGGUAAGUCACUUGUGAAAUCUCUGAGCUUAACUCAGAACGGCCAAGUGAUACUGCUGUGCUAGAGUGCGGAAGAGGCAACCGGAAUUCUUGGUGUAGCGGUGGAAUGCGUAGAUAUCAAGAGGAACACCUGAGGCGAAGGCGGGUUGCUGGGCCGACACUGACGCUGAUGCGCGAAAGCCAGGGGAGCAAACG